GAGUUUGAUCCUGGCUCAGAGCGAACGCUGGCGGCAGGCCUAACACAUGCAAGUCGAACGAACUCUUCGGAGUUAGUGGCGGACGGGUGAGUAACACGUGGGAACGUGCCUUUAGGUUCGGAAUAACUCAGGGAAACUUGAGCUAAUACCGAAUGUGCCCUUCGGGGGAAAGAUUUAUCGCCUUUAGAGCGGCCCGCGUCUGAUUAGCUUGUUGGUGAGGUAAUGGCUCACCAAGGCUACGAUCAGUAGCUGGUCUGAGAGGAUGACCAGCCACAUUGGGACUGAGACACGGCCCAAACUCCUACGGGAGGCAGCAGUGGGGAAUCUUGCGCAAUGGGCGAAAGCCUGACGCAGCCAUGCCGCGUGUAUGAUGAAGGUCCUAGGAUUGUAAAAUACUUUCACCGGUGAAGAUAAUGACUGGAGCCGGAGAAGAAGCCCCGGCUAACUUCGUGCCAGCCGCCCGGAAUCUAA
rnacentral:rRNA from 1 species